CAAAUGAUUCAUGAGCUCAGCAAUAAAUCAGAGUGAACCAAAACAACUGAGCAAUAGGACAAAUCUUAGCUGGAAAGGCUGGAAGUUUCCAGGGGAAACAAUAUUAAAUAUAAACCCUUUCCUAUGUGCUGAUAACUAUAUUGGCUUCAAGUUUCUGAACCAUUGAAAGUGAUGACAAAUCUAGCUUUACAACAUGCCAAAUGCAUCAUUUCCUUCCCUUUCCCCUCUACACCACACCCUCCCCCACCCCAACGUUUGAGAAAAUAGCUUAGGACAGCAAACUCUACAGGAUUAUACUCUAGAGCUUUAGUCUGGCUUCUCCGGGGAGAUGUUGGCUUUUUCUUCAGAUAACAACUGUUCUGCAGGGAAGCAGAUACUGAGAAAGCAGCUCUUAGAAGAAAGAACAGAGAUGAUACUGGGAAAGUACUAAAGAUCAGACACUCAGAAGUGCAAGCAAAUGUCAUCUAUUUAAGUAACCCAGACAAUCCAAGAAGCAGUCUGAAGGGAGUUUGAUGCUAAAUUGCUCUGAAGACUUGGGAGGUAAAUCCUAAUCGUGUCAAAGAUUUGGCACAAAGACAUGUUUCAGAGUGAGUUAAUAAACAAACAUGCUGAUGGAUAGUA